GCUCAAUUUAAAAUCUGGUAGUCUCUGGCUGCCCGAGUUGUAAUCUAGAGAAGCAUUAUCCGCGCCGGACCAUGUACAAGUUUUCCUGGAAUGGAGCGUCAUAGAGGGUGAGAAUCCCGUCUUUGACAUGGGCUACCGGGGCUUUGUGAUGUGCUCUCCAAGAGUCGAGUUGUUUGGGAAUGCAGCUCUAAAUGGGUGGUAAAUUCCAUCUAAAGCUAAAUAUUGGCGAGAGACCGAUAGCGAACAAGUACCGUGAGGGAAAGAUGAAAAGAACUUUGGAAAGAGAGUUAAACAGUACGUGAAAUUGUUGAAAGGGAAACGCUUGAAGUCAGUCGCGUCUGCCAGGAAUCAACCUUGCAUUUUUGCUGGGUGUACUUUCUGGUUGGACGGGUCAGCAUCAAUUUUGAUCAGUGGAAAAAGUUCAGAGGAAUGUGGCACCUUCGGGUGUGUUAUAGCCUUUGUUCGUAUACAUUGAUUGGGAUUGAGGAACUCAGCAUGCCGUAAGGCCGGGUCUUUUGACUACGUUCAUGCUUAGGAUGCUGGCAUAAUGGCUUUAAUCGACCCGUCUUGAAACACGGACCAAGGAGUCUAACAUGCCCGCGAGUGUUUGGGUGGAAAACCCAGACGCGUAAUGAAAGUGAAGGUUGAGAUCCCUGUCGUGGGGAGCAUCGACGCCCGGACCAGAACUUCUGUGACGGAUCCGCGGUAGAGCGUGUAUGUUGGGACCCGAAAGAUGGUGAACUAUGCCUGAAUAGGGUGAAGC
rnacentral:rRNA from 1 species